CCGUCAUAGGAAAGACAAAACUUCUACCACAACCUCUGCGGCCACACCCACCCCUCAAAUAUAUGAGAAUGUUCUUCCACCAGGACAGAGAAAGCCUGAGAUUGAGCCUGAAAGCUCCUCUGAGGCUGCCAAUGUAUAUUUGGACUUGCAGCCCACAACCCGGUCUGUCUACGAAGAGAUAAAGAGAUAACAGAUGGGCCCUGCAACCUUCUCUCCACUGCUGAGGCCUCUCUGGGGCCGUCAAGCCUCUUUCCCUUUCAAAUUUCUACCUUUCAGCUGCUGCCAAGUGAUUGUCGGGACCAGGACAUUUUCUCUUCAGGGCUUAAUCCUUCUGGAAAUCCUAGUUCUUGUUCUGAACACAGGAGCCAGCCUUGGUUCCCGAGGGACUUUCGUGCUGCAUGAUGGGAACAACUUGCAGAUACUGAGACAGAGACGUGAGGGAACCUCUCCCUGGAAAAGGCCGGACUGAAAUCCUUGAAAUCACACCUUACAUGUCUAAAGGAUUGGCGCUGAGGGGGAAGAAAGGAAGCGGGCAAAUCCUCAUUAAAACCCACCAGCAUCUUUCUCCUACUGGACACAUUUUUGUUCGCCGUUUUGAAGAAUGUUGUAAUUCUUGCAAGCAAUUUCUCUUAAUAUGAUGCAUGGUUUCCUGAGAUUUCCAUGGAUCAAUUCUUUUCAAUGCACAGUUUCACCUAAUAUAUGCAUUCUGGCACUCAUAGCUCGGUCAUUUCAAAGUUUGGAUAAGUGAAAAUUUAGAAGCAUGGCUGCAGUUCAGUUCUCAUGAUCCAGAAAGAGACCUCAUUCCAUACUCUCCAACAUUUCUCCAAUGAAAAUAGCAACGUCCCAUUCCAUAAUUAUAACUUUAC